rnacentral:tRNA from 1 species
CCCCUCCUGGUCCGGACCAGGCUGUUAUUGGCUUUUAACCACGUGGUCGUGGGUUCGAGUCCCACGGAUGGUG